rnacentral:rRNA from 1 species
AGUGGGGAAUAUUGCACAAUGGGCGCAAGCCUGAUGCAGCGACGCCGCGUGGGGGAUGAAGGCCUUCGGGUUGUAAACUCCUUUCAACCAUGACGAAGCAUUAUGUGACGGUAGUGGUAGAAGAAGCACCGGCUAACUACGUGCCAGCAGCCGCGGUAAUACGUAGGGUGCGAGCGUUGUCCGGAAUUACUGGGCGUAAAGAGCUCGUAGGUGGUUUGUCGCGUCGUCUGUGAAAUUCCGGGGCUUAACUCCGGGCGUGCAGGCGAUACGGGCAUAACUUGAGUGCUGUAGGGGAGACUGGAAUUCCUGGUGUAGCGGUGAAAUGCGCAGAUAUCAGGAGGAACACCGAUGGCGAAGGCAGGUCUCUGGGCAGUAACUGACGCUGAGGAGCGAAAGCAUGGGUAGCGAA